UGAGCGCUGCUGAGUUGUGCAAGGGCACACCAAAAGGGCCUACUGCCUGCCUGGGAGGCGCUGCCCCUGCGAAAAAGUCUUCCUCUCUGCGAGCGCAAGGGGAUUAGGCAGCAGGGGUGAGGCUGGCCCACGGGUGGCCAGGAAGCAAAGGGGGAGCAGGCUUGGGUAGCCAGCAGCAGCCAAAGGAAGACCCGAGGGCUGCCAAAGCCCGGGAUCGAUCCAGGGACCUUUAGAUCUUCAGUCUAACGCUCUCCCAACUGAGCUACUCCGGCUGCCAGGGGGCCUGUGGUGGCUCUGGCUGGGCCUUCCUCCCCAGGCCCUGAGCCCAAGGUGGAAGGCUGGGCUUGGGGCUCUGGGCUGCAGGCGCCUGGGCCUCUUGCCUGGCUCCGGGACCUGCGGCUGCUUGGCCAGUGCCCGUGCUUGACAAGGGGAGCCAAGAAGUGGCAAGGCCUGUGGCACAAUUGCCACCGUCUGUGUCCCUCUCCAGAAAUCUGUCUCUGCCAGCGUGAGAGGCUGGUGUUGAAUUCCUCAGGGCGGGGGAUCACAAAAGCCUGGUGCCUCCGAAGAGGAUUCUCUGGUCGGUGGGGAGGGGGAGGGAAAAAGCCCCUUCAGGGGCCCAGGUGACCCGUGAUGCUUUGUAAGUUGGUUGGCUAGUGGCCAGCACUGGCAGCUUCGAUUGGCCCGGGCUGCUGAGGUCAGAAAGGUUAUUUAAAGGCCCGGUCCAGGAAGAAGGCAGCCAUUAGCCAUGCGGUCAUCGAGAUGCAUCUGAAACUGGCAGAGGAGCUUCACCAUCUGAAACUGGCUUUCUCCUCAAAGAGUGACCUGCCUCCAGAGCAAAACUGCAACCAGCUCUGGAUGAUGCGGGGCCUGCCAAUGGCACAGGAGACGAGCUCGGAGAGCAAUUUGUUUGCUACCUUGUGGGCGUUUUGGAUCAGCCCUGAGAGGGAGCCUGGCUGAGUCCCCCAAAACAUCUGCUGAGGUGAGUGGGACGCAGCCCUGUGGCAAGGAUUGCAGGGUCUAAACAGAAAUGCUUUGUUUGUGAAGUUACAAAAUGCAGCAAUUGAGCACCCUGCAGGCUAAGUACCCCCACUUCAGGCUGGAAAGGUGCCAUGAAUACAUCCCACGGCAUCCAGCUAGCAGAUACUUAAGAUGCUUCUGGGGGCUGUACCAUGGCAGUACCCAAGCCCUCCCAGGAAAAGGAUUUUGGACAGACGACCUCCUGGUGCCCUCCCGAGGGCAUGAACCAAGGAUGAUGCCAUGUCUGGGAAGAAGCCAGGGCAGGCAGAGACAGGAAAAACUUGGAGUCCUGGUCAGCUUCGACCCACUGGGAAGGGGAGGAUCCAGCAUGUCUUGGAGUCAUUGCAAAAGAUUCCAGGCAAGAACUGUGCAGCUUGGUGCAGCAUCCGAAAUCUGCUUUCUAUGCCACUAAAGAUGAUUCUACGGCUGUACUAUGGCAGUUCCCACGCCUCUCUGGGAACACGGACUGUGACCCGCGACCCCCAGCUCUCUCCUGGACCUGGUCUGCAGGACAUCAAGCAUGAAGGAGUGGAUGUGGGGGCUGUAUGAUGUAGGGCAGAAAAUCAGCACCAGAAAGCUACUCCCUCUGUUCUACCCCUUCCCUCUCCAGCCCUCACCACCCUCCCUGCCUCUCCUUUCCCCCUAUAUAUUAUGUUAGGUUAGGCUAGGUUAAGUUAUAUUAUAUUGUUUUAUUUCCUAUUA